UGGGCGUAAGCGCGCGCAGGCGGUUUCUUAAGUCUGAUGUGAAAGCCCACGGCUCAACCGUGGAGGGUCAUUGGAAACUGGGGAACUUGAGUGCAGAAGAGAAAAGCGGAAUUCCACGUGUAGCGGUGAAAUGCGUAGAGAUGUGGAGGAACACCAGUGGCGAAGGCGGCUUUUUGGUCUGUAACUGACGCUGAGGCGCGAAAGCGUGGGGAGCAAACAGGAUUAAUAUACCCUGGUAGUCCCCGCCGUAAACGAUGAGUGCUGGGUGUUAGAGGGUUUCCCCC
rnacentral:rRNA from 1 species